GGUCCCUCCGAUGAUCAGAGAGUGGAAGAAAUGAAAAGAGAGCUUGCAAAAAAGGAGGAGGAACUAAAAAAGGCUAUGGCGCAGCUCGAAAUGCAGGGGGAAGUUAUGGCGCAGCUGAAAUUAAAAGUGAAAGAAGGAGCCAUGGCGCAGUUACAAACAAAGACGGAAGUGGUAGAUAACUUAGAUCCUAUGCCCACGCGCCCAGCCCCAACAGCGCCACCUUACGAGGGGCCUCCUCCGUAUAAACCUUGCUGCACCAAGGCCUGCUAUUGUGCGAGCUGCACCGCACGAGUGGCUGCUCUGCAACGCUGCACAGGCAUGUACAGGCUUGGAAAGCCUUCACUUUAUUAAUGGGUCUACAUGGCAUAACUGUACGUACAACUAUCACGUAGGCUCUCGAUUUGAAACAAAUGUUACUUGCAAUUGUACCUCAGCUAAGCACAUAAGUUACUCACCAACGCCCGUCUGUGUUAGAGCUCCCUUUCUCUUCAUAGUUUUUAAUGCUUCUACUAUUAACAAGUCAUCUAGUCUCUCUUGUGAGUCCCAGAAUUGUCUGCUAUCAGAAUGUUGGAACGCCAUGGUGGGAGACUCGGCAG